rnacentral:rRNA from 1 species
UUCCGGUUGAUCCUGCCGGAGGCCAUUGCUAUCGGAGUCCGAUUUAGCCAUGCUAGUCGCACGAGUUCAUACUCGUGGCAUAUAGCUCAGUAACACGUGGCCAAACUACCCUAUGGACAGCAAUAACCUCGGGAAACUGAGGCUAAUAGUUGAUACUGCUCUCACGCUGGAACAGCAGAGAGCGGGAAACGCUCCGGCGCCAUAGGAUGUGGCUGCGGCCGAUUAGGUAGACGGUGGGGUAACGGCCCACCGUGCCUAUAAUCGGUACGGGUCAUGAGAGUGAGAGCCCGGAGACGGUAUCUGAGACAAGAUACCGGGCCCUACGGGGCGCAGCAGGCGCGAAACCUUUACACUGCACGCCAGUGCGAUAGGGGAACUCCGAGUGCGAGGGCAUACAGUCCUCGCUUUUCUGUACCGUAAGGUGGUACAGGAAUAAGUGCUGGGCAAGACCGGUGCCAGCCGCCGCGGUAAUACCGGCAGCACGAGUGAUGGCCGAUAUUAUUGGGCCUAAAGCGUCCGUAGCCGGCCAGACAAGUCCGUUGGGAAAUCGACGUGCCUAACACGUCGGCGUCCAGCGGAAACUGUCUGGCUUGGGGCCGGAGGACUCGAGGGGUACGUCCGGGGUAGGAGUGAAAUCCCGUAAUCCUGGACGGACCGCCGAUGGCGAAAGCACCUCGAGAGGACGGACCCGACGGUGAGGGACGAAAGCUAGGGUCUCGAACCGGAUUAGAUACCCGGGUAGUCCUAGCCGUAAACAAUGCUCGCUAGGUGUGGCGCAGGCUACGAGCCUGCGCUGUGCCGUAGGGAAGCCGUGAAGCGAGCCGCCUGGGAAGUACGUCCGCAAGGAUGAAACUUAAAGGAAUUGGCGGGGGAGCACUGCAACCGGAGGAGCCUGCGGUUUAAUUGGAUUCAACGCCGGA